rnacentral:rRNA from 1 species
GCACAAGCGGAGGAACAUGUGGUUAAUCGAUGAUACGCGAGGAACCUUACCUGGGCUUAAAUGUAGAGUGCAUUUUCUAGAGAUAGGAAUUCCCUUCGGGGGCUUUCUGCAAGGUGCUGCAUGGUUGUCGUCAGCUCGUGCCGUGAGGUGUCGGGUUAAGUCCCAUAACGAGCGCAACCCUUAUCGUUAGUUGCCAUCUGGUAAAGCAGGGGACUCUAGCGAAACUGCCACCGUAAGGUGAGAGGAAGGUGGGGAUGACGUCAAAUCAGCACGGCCCUUAUGUCCAGGGCUACACACGUGUUACAAUGGCCGGUACAGAGGGCAGCUACCUGGUGACAGGAUGCUAAUCUCGAAAACCGGUCUCAGUUCGGAUCGAAGUCUGCAACUCGACUUCGUGAAGCUGGAUUCGCUAGUAAUCGCGCAUCAGCCAUGGCGCGGUGAAUACGUUCCCGGGCCUU